UCCGUGUUAACCACGGCAGUCUGUCUAGAGUGCCCAACUUAAUGCUGGCAACUAAACACAGGGGUUGCGCUCGUUGAGGGACUUAACCCGACAUGCCACCACACGAGCUGACGACAGCCAUGCAGCACCUGUCUCUUUGUCGUAUUGCUACGAAAGCUACAUCUCUGUAGUUGUCAAAGGAUGUCAAACCUAGGUAAGGUUCUGCGCGUUGCUUCGAAUUAAACCACAUAAUCCACCGCUUGUGCGGGCUCCCGUCAAUUCCUUUGAGUUUUAGUCUUGCGACCGUACUUCCCAGGCGGGGAUGACGUAGUGGAAGCAAGCU
rnacentral:misc_RNA from 1 species